rnacentral:rRNA from 1 species
UGGGGAAUAUUGCGCAAUGGACGAAAGUCUGACGCAGCGACGCCGCGUGUGGGAUGAAGCCUUUCGGGGUGUAAACCACUGUUGCCCGGGACGAAACUCUCCUUUCGAGGAGAUUGACGGUACCGGGUGAGGAAGCACCGGCUAACUCUGUGCCAGCAGCCGCGGUAAUACAGAGGGUGCGAGCGUUGUCCGGAAUCACUGGGCGUAAAGGGCGCGUAGGUGGCGAGAUAAGCGUGUGGUGAAAGCCCGGGGCUCAACCCCGUGUCUGCCAUGCGGACUGUUUUGCUCGAGCGUAGUAGAGGCAGGUGGAAUUCCGGGUGUAGCGGUGGAAUGCGUAGAGAUCCGGAAGAACACCGGUGGCGAAGGCGGCCUGCUGGGCUACUGCUGACACUGAGGCGCGACAGCGUGGGGAGCAAACAGGAUUAGAUACCCCCGUAGUCC